rnacentral:lncRNA from 2 species
AUGUUGCGUCAACCGAAAGGGUAUGAGGAAAUAAUUUCUGUUUUCAUCAAUUCAUUGCACUUUAGAAAUAAUGAUAUUGAUAAGGAUGGUGAUGGUGAGAUUUUGCUUCUUACUGAGGAAGAAUGGAACAUAGCAACAUGUCUGCUUGGAGGUUGUGGAGACUGCUUUCUAUCAAUAGGUGAUGCAAUGAGUCUUGAUUAUUUUGAAGCUUAUCAACAUGCUAAAGAUGAGUUGUUCAAGGUUUUCCGUCUGUACCAAACUAAGCUAAGUGUUGCUCGUCAGGUGCCUGAGGAAACCCCACAAAAAAAGCAAAGCAAAUCAAGUGCAAUGAAUAUAUGGAAGAAGAUCAGGGGCAAGGAACAAGCCUCCUCAUCA